GUUGUGGACGAACAGAUGAAGCUUGCAAUUCAAACAGCAUCGCUGAUAGCUGUGGUUCAUGCCUGGAUCAUGUUGCUCCAUAAAAGAGUUGUUCAUCGGAACAAAUGUGUCAUACAGUAUGGUCCAAUGUCAAUCCAGGACCAUGCGAGGAUAGUAAAUAUGGACUACAUCUACAACUGCAAUGACACCGAGGCUCUGUGGAUGCUUCGAAUGAAAAGAGCACCUUUCGUCAGGCUUGUGCAGAUGUUCAAGAGCAGGGGGCUACUAGAAGAUAGCAUCCACGCCGUUGUGGAAGAGCAAGUUGUCAUGUUCCUCCAUGUUGUAGGUCAUAACCAGAGGUUAUUUAGGGUGAUCCACAAGACGUUCAAGAGAUCAAUGGAGACCAUUAUCAGAUAUUUCAUGCAAGUGUUGUAUGCUGUUGGGGAGCUCAGAGAAGAGAUGAUCGGGUCACCAACCGGACAAACUCCUAGCAAGAUUCGCACUAGCCCAGGAUUGUAUUCUUAUUUCAAGGUGAGCACCACUCCUAAUUCAUGCCUUGACAUGCUUGUAUUGUUCUGUUAUAGCCAUAACAUUAUCUCUUCAUGCCAUUUCAGAAUUUGCAUUGGGGCAAUAGAUGGUACUCAUGUCACUGCUCGAGUGUCGAGGUCACAAUCUGUAGCAUACAGGGGGAGAAAGCAAUACACAAGCCAGAAUGUUCUUGUUGCUAUUGACUUCGAUCUGAAGUUCACAUAUGUGCUAGCUGGCUGGGAAGGAUGA
rnacentral:rRNA from 1 species